ensembl:snRNA U6 U6 spliceosomal RNA
GUGCUCCUUUGGCAGCAAGUAUACUAAAACUGGAACGAUACAGAGAAGAUUAGCAUGGCCCCUGUGCAAGGAUGACACGCAAAUUUGUGAAGCAUUCCAUAUUAAU